UACGUAGGGGGCUAGCGUUGUCCGGAAUCAUUGGGCGUAAAGAGCGUGUAGGCGGUCCGGUAAGUCCGCUGUGAAAGUCGGGGGCUCAACCCUCGAAUGCCGGUGGAUACUGUCGGGCUAGAGUGCGGAAGAGGCGAGUGGAAUUCCUGGUGUAGCGGUGAAAUGCGCAGAUAUCAGGAGGAACACCUAUUGCGAAGGCAGGUUACUACUGGUGGAUUGACGCUGAUGGACGAAAGCGUGGGUAGCGAACAGG
rnacentral:rRNA from 1 species